rnacentral:rRNA from 1 species
CCUACGGGGGGCUGCAGUGGGGGAUAUUGCACAAUGGGGGGAACCCUGAUGCAGCGACGCCGCGUGGGUGAAGGAGUAUUUCGGUAUGUAAAGCCCUAUCGGCAGGGAAGAAAUUGGACGGUACCUGACUAAGAAGCCCCGGCUAACUACGUGCCAGCAGUCGCGGUAAUACGUAGGGGGCAAGCGUUAUCCGGAUUCACUGGGUGUAAAGGGAGCGUAGACGGCCAUGCAAGCCAGGGGUGAAAGCCCGGGGCCCAACCCCGGGACUGCCCUUGGAACUGCAUGGCUGGAGUGCGGGAGGGGCAGGCGGAAUUCCUGGUGUAGCGGUGAAAUGCGUAGAUAUCAGGAGGAACACCGGCGGCGAAGGCGGCCUGCUGGACCGCGACUGACGUUGAGGCUCGAAAGCGUGGGGAGCGAACAGGAUUAGAUACCCGUGUAGUC